rnacentral:misc_RNA from 1 species
GAUGACGAACGUAGCGAAAUGCGAUAAGUAGUGUGAAUUGCAGAAUUCAGAGAAUCAUCGAAUCUUUGAACGCACAUUGCGCCCCUUGGUAUUCCAUGGGGCAUGCCUGUUCGAGCGUCAUUUGUACCUUCAAGCUUUGCUUGGUGUUGGGUGUUUGUCUCGCCUUUGCGUGUAGACUCGCCUUAAAAUAAUUGGCAGCCGGCGUAUUGAUUUCGGAGCGCAGUACAUCUCGCGCUUUGCACUCAUAACGACAGCGUCCAAAAGUACAUUUUACACUCUUGACCUCGGAUCAGGUAGGGAUACCCGCUGAACUUAAGCAUAUCAAUAAGCGGAGGA